rnacentral:rRNA from 1 species
GUAGGUGGCAAGCGUUGUCCGGAAUUAUUGGGCGUAAAGCGCGCGCAGGCGGUUCUUUAAGUCUGAUGUGAAAGCCCACGGCUCAACCGUGGAGGGUCAUUGAAAACUGGAGAACUUGAGUACAGAAGAGGAAAGCGGAAUUCCACGUGUAGCGGUGAAAUGCGUAGAGAUGUGGAGGAACACCAGUGGCGAAGGCGGCUUUCUGGUCUGUAACUGACGCUGAGGCGCGAAAGCGUGGGGAGCAAACAGGGAUUAGAUACCCUGGUAGUCCACGCCGUAAACGAUGAGUGCUAAGUGUUAGGGGGUUUCCGCCCCCUUAGUGCUGCAGCUAACGCAUUAAGCACUCCGCCUGGGGAGUACGGCCGCAAGGCUG